rnacentral:rRNA from 1 species
GGAUUAGAUACCCUGGUAGUCCUAGCCCUAAACGAUGUGCACUAGGUAGUGGGGCAUUCCGAUGUCCCGCUGCCGGAGCAAAAGUUUUAAGUGCACCGCCUGGGGACUACGGUCGCAAGGCUAAAACUCAAAGGAAUUGACGGGGGCUCACACAAGCGGUGGAGGAUGUUGCUUAAUUCGAAGCAACGCGAAGAACCUUACCAGGACUUGACAUGCUAGUGGUACGACCCGGAAACGGUGAGGACCUAUCUUUGAUAGGAGCUAGUACAGGUGUUGCAUGGCUGUCGUCAGCUCGUGCCG